AGCCGGGUUAGUGAUGUGAGACAUUUUCAUCUGGCUGGUUGAAGAGUUUUUGUUAGUCCGUAAAUACGCUCUCAUAUAAUAUCCGUGAGAGAGAGGGGGCUUUCCUUCCAUGUGCGAACUUUGUGAUAACUCGACAGGAUGUCACAUCGAUAGCAAAUACAUACUCACUGUAUUCGUGUCUGCCUACAUAGUCUUUGUUUAUAAGUUAUAUAAAAUUACUAAAAUUAGAAAAAACAUCACUUUUUCAAACCGAAAGGAAAACGAGUUGGUGGUUUACACGAGUAUUGAAACGAAAGUGAAACAAGUAGAUUCGAGGUCUCAUCUUUUCGAGGUCUGCAGGAAGAGGAGGAGGAGGUCCGAAAACAAGUAAUACAAAGAAUGUCAUCCCUACUUAUUCCCGAAGAACAAGAAAUGUUUCAAUCCGAAUCUGACACAAGUAACCAUGUUAUCUAUAUAUGGAUGCCCGUUGGAGUCAGUCAGGUCGGACAUGCAUCGUUGUGCUGAGUAACGGUGUAUACGUAAGCUGGUGGCCACAAGAUAAGAAAUCAAAAUGUGGGUUUAAGAAGAAAGAAAAUAAAUGCAAUAGUAGCCUGCAGGGAGACAUCAAAGAAGAGGGCAUGGAUCCUGACUACACGUUUAAGAUACCCUCCACAAAGUUAGACCUGACUGACUGAUAUGACAACCUUUUGGAAUAAACAAAAAAGCACGGGUCACUAUUCCUUACUGAAACAAAACUGUUGCUGGGUUGUGUACCGCGUCCUCCGUGCAGGCAGAUCCCCAAUGAGUCAAACAAUUCUUUGGAGACCAGAAACUUUACGGAGGUAUCUGGUCAUUUACCUGGGUGGUGGAUCAGGAUUUUUUACUUUUUUUAACAUGCCAGAUUGGGAUUUACGUUUCAAAGAAAAAAUCACACUGUAUACAUGGAAUGCCAGAGGUGGGAGGGAAAAACACCAGUCACUAUUGCUAGAUAACUCAGUAUAUGUAAGCUGUUGGCCCCGUCACUUAUUGUCAGAAGGACAUGCUUCGUGCAGCUUACAAGACGAUCGAAGAAAGAUGGGCAGAGUGGAAGAUGAGGCACAUAUCCUUCCUAAUAUGACGUUGGAGUACCACCUCGUGAGGAGACGCUGGAAGCAAAUGAUGACAGAGGAAACAUCGGAAAUGGGGGCAGCUAAGUCGGACUGGGUCAUACGACAAAUUCUGAUUGCAGGUGGCGCUCCUAUAUUACUGCGAAUAGGAAUAAUAUGAUGAUGCACACUUGACUUUCUGAAAAUAAUCAACAUAUGACACAUUCAUUGGAUGACUGGAUGCGGAAGAAUACAUAGAUUUAUUACAGCUUCUGUUUUAAGUCUCCUGAAGUUUGUGACGUGUGCUGCAAAUAGACUUUUGUUGCAACUUUGUACUCGCAUCUAAAGCCAGUCAAUACUCGAUUUAGAAAUUAAUAACCUACGAGCAACGAGAGAUUAUAUGUGUCUUGUGAAUAAAUUUUGUAAAUUCUGA